CGGGUAUAGUUUUUAUAAUUUUUAGAAAGAAUUUAAUAUGUCAGGAUUGUAAAAUAGCAGCAUAAAAUUAAUACUAAAAAUUAGUAAUAUAGCUAUACCUUUUUU
rnacentral:SRP_RNA from 1 species